CAGUAGGGGGUACAACAGCUGGUGGUGCAUCUACCGGUGGUCAUCUCAGUCGGCCAACCCAUGGCACCUGCUGGGGUCUGUCCCAGGACUUCCUUGCCAGCAGAGAGCUCUCCCGACACUUCUCGUGGCUGCCUGCAACGUGCACCUAGCCUGGCACAGGCGCCAUCUGGUGGCGAGCGGCAUUGUGAGGCGCCUUGCGUGCUCGUCCAUUCGUGAGAACCUUCACGUUCAUGGUCACUUUCAAACUAGACGCUGUCCUUAAUAACAGUCCGGCUGCAACAGGAAACGAAACAUUUAAUAGGCGACGUUUCGGGGGCAAGGGCGUAGGGGCGACGUUUCGGGUAUACAGGCAAGGGCAUGGAGCCGGCUUCCCAUUGGCCGGAGAGCUGGUCACGUGGGUGGUAAGCAGGCGCCAGGUGUGCGUGCGGUAAUUUCUUCGGAAGAAUCGAUUGAUCGAUUCGACAUGUUCUAUAGUUUAGCUCGAUUCCAAAGGGUUUUCACAGAUCGAUUCCAAAGCGUUUUCACAGACCGAUCGAUUCUCAAAUUGUUAUCGCAGAGCGCUCGCGAUUCACGCGAAUCGAUCCACGGGAUUAUCCCCCCCCCCCCUAUCAUCCGUGUGCAAAAAAAUUGGCGCGAAAGUUGAGGGUGCGAGGGGCUCAGGAGACGGCGGGGCCGGCGGCGGCGGCGGCCUCCAUGAGACGGAGCGACUCGACGCCGCCUGGGACGGCUGCGGCGACGGCGGUGGUGGUGCUGACGACGGCGGCGGUGCUGACGACGGCAGGCGCCGCGGUAGGGGCCGAUCUCGGCGCCGCCGGCUCGGAUUUGUUUCCCCCUGGCAGCGUUGCGAGCGGCGGCGUCGGCUCGUCCGAGGGAGGUCCUUCAUCCAAGCGUGUUGGUGCCCGGAGCGCUGGUACCCAGCGGGGUAGCCGCGCCCACUUCUUGUUUUCCCGGCGAGUGAGCGGGGGACGCCGAUCGGACCCCGGGGCGGGCGAGUGAGAGGCGGGCAGCGUCGGUGUCGGCAUGAACGAGUCCUGCGUGAGGGGGGGCACCCCUGCCCGGCCCGGCACGAGCGCGCCCCCCGGGCACGUGCUCAUCAGCGAGAAGUGGAGGGGAACGCAGGUGGCACAGGCGCUAUCCGGAAAGGUGCGACUUGUGUUCGAGGAGGCGAUGGGCCUCACAGACUUCCAGCUCUCGGACCGCAUGUGCCUCCUGUUCAUCACAGAGAGCGACCAGGUCACCGGCUCGGACUACAAGCGCAGGCUCGUGCGCUUCCGAAAGAAGAGCGCCGCUAACUCCCUGGUGCUGGUGGAGCUGACGCCGCUGAGCGAGCAGUACUUUGCCGACGUGCAGGCUUUCGUGGUGCUCGACCUGGGCAUGGCCAUCGUCCCGGUGAGCGGCCAGGCCGAAGCAGCGCUCGUCAUCGCCCACCUGGUGGCCGAUGAAGGCAAGAGUCCCGGGACUAACCCCUUCUCGCCCUCGCGGGGCGCGGCGGGCUCUGGCGACGCCGCCGUUCUCGACUGCGUCACGCACAUCCCGGGCAUCGGGCGCGUGAAGGCUCUGGCCCUACUGGAGCGCUUCCCGAGCCUACACGCGCUGUCCACCGCCUCCGAUGAGCAGCUCGCCAUCGCGGUCGGCCGAGGGGCUGCUGCUAGCGUCCGGGCGUUCUUCACGCAGCGCACGGGGCCCUGAUGGCAGGGAGGGCCUCUCACGGUACUACAGUCCAGACACUGGGGGGUGAGAGGACACAAGGACAGGGGAAGAGACCCCCUCAACUCUUCACAUGUUCACCUGAAGAUUCUCAGAUGAAAAUCUUCCCCUCGUGGCAGCGCCGCUUGUGCAGCGAAGUCGUGAUGCUACUGGUCACUACAAAGGUACCCCAGCAGAAGCCACAGAAGUUGGAGAGGUCCACAGUCAAGUGGCCUCCCUCUUGGAAGCUCCCUUGGCCAUGCCGGCAGAGCAGGCCCUCUGCACCCACGUCUUCACUCCCGCAGCCUGGGCGCGCUUCGCGUGGGACGAGCCCCAAGGGGCUGCCGUGAACACCCAGCAGCUCUGGCUCUCUUCCGCGCUCGGGUCGUUGAGGCGGCUACCGGCGUCGCCGAGAGCCGCGGCCUCCCAGAAUGCGGCCGGGGCGCACCAGCGGGGAGGAGCGAGGCGGGGGCCGCCCAGGCACCGGCAGCAUCUGCUCAGAUUCAAGCAGGGGCUGCUCAGCCGUCAGGAGGAGGGCGGUGUCGUGGAGGAGGUGGUGCUUCGGGUGACGGGGACUCGGCUCCUUGAGCGCGGGGCCUUAGGCAAGCGAGACCUGGGGCACAGUGAGAGGAGGGGGUGGCAUCAGCACUGCAAGUGCCUGGGCACUUCGCUUAAUCGUCAUCCAAUGCAAGUACUCUCGUUGAGUCGCCGUAGUCGAGUUCCCACGAGCACUAUGACCGUGCAUGGAGAGAUCGCACAGAGGAGCAUGAUGGACCUGGGAGCACGGUGCUACGCAGUGACAUCGCCAUGACCUUAAGAGAAGUGGACUUGGACAGGACACAUUUCAAGACUAGCGUGUUAUCAGUUUAUCACAUCAGUAGAUCUAUGAUGUUGCGAAAAUAGGUAUUUUGGUCAUUGUCAUGAAGCUGCCUCACCACUACAAACUGUGCUCACUCAUCCCUUGAUAAUCCCCACUCACCACUGCCUCCUCUCCCCACUCACCACUACCUACUCUCACCACUACCUCCUCUCCCCACUCACCACUACCUCCUCUCCCCACUCACCACUACCUCCUCUCCCCAC